GUGGGGAAUCUUCCGCAAUGGGCGAAAGUCUGACGGAGCAACGCCGCGUGAGUGAAGAAGGUUUUCGGAUCGUAAAGCUCUUUCGUUAGGGACGAACGUGCUCUUUGUGAAUAAUGAGGAGUAAUGACGGUACCUAAAUAAGAAGCCACGGCUAACUACGUGCCAGCAGCCGCGGUAAUACGUAGGUGGCAAGCGUUGUCCGGAAUUAUUGGGCGUAAAGCGCGCGCAGGCGGGAUAUCAAGUCUGUCUUAAAAGUGCGAGGCUCAACCUCGUGAGGGGACAGAAACUGGUAUUCUUGAGUGUCGGAGAGGAAAGUGGAAUUCCAAGUGUAGCGGUGAAAUGCGUAGAGAUUUGGAAGAACACCAGUGGCGAAGGCGACUUUCUGGACGAUGUCUGACGCUGAGGCGCGAAAGCUAGGGGAGCGAACAGGAUUAGAUACCCCGGUAGUCC
rnacentral:rRNA from 1 species